rnacentral:rRNA from 1 species
AACGAACGCUGGCGGCAUGCCUAACACAUGCAAGUCGAACGAUGCCUUCGGGCAUAGUGGCGCACGGGUGCGUAACGCGUGGGAAUCUGCCUUUCGGUUCGGAAUAACUCAGGGAAACUUGAGCUAAUACCGGAUAACGUCGCAAGACCAAAGAUUUAUCACCGAAAGAUGAGCCCGCGUAGGAUUAGCUAGUUGGUGAGGUAAAGGCUCACCAAGGCGACGAUCCUUAGCUGGUCUGAGAGGAUGAUCAGCCACACUGGGACUGAGACACGGCCCAGACUCCUACGGGAGGCAGCAGUGGGGAAUAUUGGACAAUGGGCGAGAGCCUGAUCCAGCAAUGCCGCGUGAGUGAUGAAGGCCUUAGGGUUGUAAAGCUCUUUUACCCGGGAAGAUAAUGACGGUACCGGGAGAAUAAGCCCCGGCUAACUCCGUG